GACUCUGGUCAGCGGAUGACUUGCCUCAUGCAUCUGCUAAGAAGGCAUCUAGCUGCAGGAGUUAUUGUGAAUGGCAGGACACAUUGAUCACUGACAGUUUGAACGCACUUGUGGCACCAGGUUUAAUCUUGGGGCUAUGCCUGAGCGUUG
rnacentral:rRNA from 1 species